AAUUUAUCAAGUGCAAGAGGCCUCCAAGUACAAGGCCCUUCACUGUCAUCAAAAACAGGAAGUCUUUGUUUGAAGAUUUAGAAGCACAUUACUAAUACAAGUAAGAGGUGUUAAGAAGCUUCACAUCUCAGGCAUUGAAAACUUCCAGAAUGCACAGUAUUAGUUGUGUCACCUAUGAAGCCAGAUUCCUCUGCUUCAACAAUUCUGUAGACAUGAGGAAGGCGAAUAUGGAUUUUUUGCAUCCAUGUACUGCUAAUAGAGUAACUGAGCUUCCCGGGUUUAAAGAUGAAGUUCAUAUCAGUGUAUACCCAUCCUCUUCACUCCCUCAUGUUUAUCAGUGGCAUUCCGGAGCAGAUGGGUGAUAAGACUUGUGGAUAUUGGAUUAUGCAUUACAUGAGGGAUAUAGUAGAGGACAAAAACCAAGAGUGGAGUG